GACGAACGCUGGCGGCGUGCUUAACACAUGCAAGUCGAACGGAAAGGCCCUGCUUUUGUGGGGUGCUCGCGUGGCGAACGGGUGAGUAACACGUGAGUAACCUGCCCUUGACUUUGUGAUAACUUCAGGAAACUGGGGCUAAUACCGGAUAGGAGCUCCUGCUGCAUGGUGGGGGUUGGAAAGUUUCGGCGGUUGGGGAUGGACUCGCGGCUUAUCAGCUUGUUGGUGGGGUAGUGGCUUACCAAGGCUUUGACGGGUAGCCGGCCUGAGAGGUUGGCCGGCGACAUUGGGACUGAGAUACGGAGCAGUCUCGUACGGGAGGCAGCAGUGGGGAAUAUUGCACAAUGGGCGGAAGCCUGAUGCAGCAACGCCGCGUGCGGGAUGACGGCCUUCGGGUUGUAAACCGCUUUCGCCUGUGACGAAGCGUGAGUGACGGUAAUGGGUAAAGAAGCACCGGCUAACUACGUG
rnacentral:rRNA from 1 species